rnacentral:rRNA from 1 species
AUACGUAGGGUGCAAGCGUUAAUCGGAAUUACUGGGCGUAAAGCGUGCGCAGGCGGUUUUGUAAGACGGAGGUGAAAUCCCCGGGCUCCACCUGGGAACUGCCUUUGUGACUGCAAGGCUAGAGUACGGCAGAGGGGGAUGGAAUUCCGCGGGUAGCAGUGAAGUGCGUAGAUAUGCGGAGGAACACCGAUGGCGAAGGCAAUCCCCUGGGCCUGUACUGACGCUCAUGCACGAAAGCGUGGGGAGCAAACAGGAUUAGAUACCCUGGUAGUCCACGCCCUAAACGAUGUCAACUGGUUGUUGGGUCUUCAUUGACUCAGUAACGAAGCUAACGCGUGAAGUUGACCGCCUGGGGAGUACGGCCGCAAGGUUGAAACUCAAAUGAAUUGACGGGG